CUGCAGCCAAUUAAAUCCACCUCAUGGGGUCUGGUCAUGGCUACGGAGAGCAGUCUCGGUGGUAGUGAACAUAGCCUGUUGCCUAUAUGCGUCUCCCAAAAAACCUUGGAUAUGGCU
ensembl:snoRNA Gm24912 predicted gene, 24912